GCCGGAAUAGCUCAGAGGGGAGAGCGUUAGACUAAAGAUCUAAAGGUCCCCGGUUCAUCCCGGGUUCCGACA